CCUUGAUGGUAAAAAGGUGAUUCUUUCCUCCCCAGAAGAUGUGGUCACGUCCAGGACAAUAACUGUAGUUCCGAACCGUGUGCUGAUUCUCUUUGCCCCUUUGAUCUUGGCCGGCUCCGUAAGGUCUCUAACAGCAAUCUUCAAUGGGGAUGAAAGCACUUCACAUGACUCUAGUCUGGCAGAAAGAUCCAUCUAAAACCAUACAGAUGCUCAAGGAGGACCCGAUUUGAGAUUAUAAUCAUUCACUUUAAUCUGGAAGAUGACACUACAUGUGAUCAUGAAGUGGAGAAAGAGGAAUAAUUGACGUAAGAGUCUUGGACAAUGUGGGGAGUACGUACACAAAGCGGAGGAAAGGCGAGGAAGGCGAGGACAUACAGGAAGGCGAGGAAGGAGAGGAGGAGAC